UCUUUUUAUUACCAUAUUUUCCGUCCAUCGUCGUCUUACACUAGAAAAUUAAUGAAGCAUGCGUAUUGAUAACGCUCAUAGAAACUGAUUUCCUUAUGGUGUUCGCCUUUUUCCAUCGACUCAAUAUCGCUCGAGCGGCACCAAGGCAAGGGUGUGUGUGUGUGUGUUUGCUUUACCACACCGUGAAAUAUCGCUCGGUCGCUUUCGUCGUCAAUGGAAAAACAAACGAACACUGUACACGACGGUGCACGGCGAGCAAAAGGGACGGCAAAUACACAAAGGCAAAUGCACGCUUCGAUAAAAGACGAGCAGCAGCAGCAACAAAAAAACAUUGCCCUUUUUGGAUCUCUGGUCCACGCUCUUGUGGAUGGUGUUGAACAGAAUCGAAUAUAUCGAUUGAAGCGCACACGCACAGGACGAAGCUUCUGAAAAGGACACCCCUUUUACAUUUGACUUAGGUGGGUCGAUGUGCGCCCCAACGCUGCCCCGUGAGAACACCUUUCCAACAAGGAGAAAAUUGAUGAAAUGCAGCUUACCUGCCAAAAUCCACCUAAACCCGGCUCUUCUUGUACAGGCACCGUGUGUGCUGACCACCAUCUUCUGCCUCACUUGACUUUCUGGGAUUGCUGUGUGAAGUGUUUUGAUAACAGCGGUACCGGAGGAUGACAGCCAAAACCAGGCGGCAAACGGAGAAAAACAGAAACACAGCCAGUUCGAGACGAGUGAAUUAAAUAACAUUUAAAUAUGCAAAAGCACGUUCCCAUUUGUUGCUACGGCAAAUAAUAAUACGGCAUCCGGGUUGCACGGUUUGUGAGCAUUAUCCAAACGCCGCUGCUGCCAAGCCAAGCUGCCAAGCGUGUGGUGGAAAGUGUAAUUUUCCACCACUCGGAAAACUGUCGCACCGGGUUUCGGAUGAGUGGCAAAAAGAGUGCUGAACCGUACAGAUUGAAUAAUGAUAGAGUUGAGGAGAGCGAGCGGAGCGAAGCGAGAG